rnacentral:rRNA from 1 species
CCUACGGGCUGCAGCAGUGGGGAAUAUUGCACAAUGGGCGAAAGCCUGAUGCAGCAACGCCGCGUGAGCGAUGAAGGCCUUCGGGUCGUAAAGCUCUGUCCUCAAGGAAGAUAAUGACGGUACUUGAGGAGGAAGCCCCGGCUAACUACGUGCCAGCAGCCGCGGUAAUACGUAGGGGGCUAGCGUUAUCCGGAAUUACUGGGCGUAAAGGGUGCGUAGGUGGUUUUUUAAGUCAGAAGUGAAAGGCUACGGCUCAACCGUAGUAAGCUUUUGAAACUAGAGAACUUGAGUGCAGGAGAGGAGAGUGGAAUUCCUAGUGUAGCGGUGAAAUGCGUAGAGAUUAGGAAGAAUACCAGUGGCGAAGGCGACUCUCUGGACCGCAACUGACGCUGAGGCUCGAAAGCGUGGGGAGCAAACAGGAUUAGAUACCCCCGUAGUC